CUCGAGCACUGGCACUUCCCAGGGGGACAUCACCACCUGAGGUGGCUCAGGCAAGAAACCCACCCAGCUACUCCUAAGAGGUGACGAUCCCACUAAACAACAAGAAAGUCUCCCCAGGCCAAGGGAAGAAUCAGGAAAGAAAAAGAUGCCACGUCAUCCCCAAGGCUCACUGCAAGAACAACAGACAGGCAGCCGUGGAUUGCAAGGAUAUAAAUUCAUCCAAGGGCUGCAGUGGCCAGAGCUGAUACAAUAACUUUUGCAGCCCUGCAGUUGAAGUCAUCUGAAACCACAAGAUUGGAGUUUGAACGGCACUUGAUAUUAUCAGUGAGCUGAGCCACUGCUCUGCACCUCAGCCACCAUUUUCCCCUUCCAUCCUUCACUGAGAUGUAUGUGCAAAUCCAAAGGAACCAGUCAGUCAAAUGUGGUGAAGCUAUCAAACACACUGCUUCUCUUCCCCAGCAGAAGAAGCCUCACUAAAGCCAAGGGAAUAUCUGAGAAACUGCAGCCAGUAGAGGGAUUUAGGCCUUCCACAAUGUGUGACAAAGCUGCCAUUAAAGCAAUGGAGCAGUCCUGGGAUCUUGAAAAAUGCAAAGAUAAUAGUGUAAACAAUGAGGAAGACUUGUGUGAGGAUAAAAAAUUCCCAGCACACCACAGUAUGCUCUUGAGCCUCCUGAAUUCACUGUCGUCUGCAAUGCUCCUAUCCCCUUGGAGGAAUUGCUGCACUAUCCAAAACUCAGUCAGACAAACUUAUUCUGAGUCCCUUAUGAUGUUUGGGUUAUAAGGCUCAUGCUGUAUAUUGAUUUGUCUUCUCCUCCUCCCUGCCCACCUCAGGGCCUCAUUUCCCAUUUCAUCUACAUCGGUUUCCUGGAUUGCAGAGGGAAUUGUCUCAAGGUCAUACCAAGAUGCUUCAGAAGGGCUCAGCGAUGAAAAAUGUAUGCAGCCCAAAAUAUUGUCUAAAAGCAAUAGACUGAAUAUAUAAAGCCUGUGCCCCAAAAGAGUUCUGUUGUAUUUAAGACACAGGGAUUUAGAUGCACACUUUUAAAAACUGCCCGUACUUCACCAGUUAAAACGAUGAGAACAAAUGAGGCUGUGAUCUGUCAAGUGAUCCUUCAUCACUCCCAGCACAGGCCCAUAAUCCUUCAGUUGUGAUUAUGCAAAGGAAUAUUACAUUGAUCCUGUAAAAUAUCUCUGAUUGGAUCAAUGUUAUUUUCUCUCGCAUUGACAAGGUCUUACCAGAGAAUGACUAUAAUUCCACUGCUAACACUGUCUUAGUGAAAUCCCCCAAUAAAUCCUCCAAGCAGCACUGUUAGUAAUACCUUUAUUAGACUAACUAAACAAGAUAUUUAUAUGUAGGGCUUUCCAAAGGACUCUGGGUCCUGCUUCAUUUUCUGGGAAUUUUUUAUCCUCAGACAAGUCUUCCUCAUUGUUUACACUAUCAUUGUUUACACUGUUGAUCAACAGUGUUCUCCUGGAAGACUUGCCCCCAAGGAGGUUCUGCAAGGAUGUAAGUGGCAGAUGAAAUUACCCUUUCAAGAUUCAAAAGGUUGGUCACAGAUAUACCCUUGUCCUGCCCCUACUGCAGCAAGGACCCAAAUGCAUCUUUGACAGAAAAAUCUCACAGCGAAUCUGGUUCACAGACAAGACUGGAGUUCAGAGUCUCUCCAUACAUUUCACAAACAGGCUGUCAGUGAACAGUUUGCUAACAGCCAAAGGGAAAACAUGGUCUUUAUGUACCUUCUGUCAUUUCAAUAUUUGUUCAAGGCCUGGCCUUCCUACUCAACAAGACCUGAUCCCCUUCUAGCCACUGCUGUUUCUCCUUACUCGUGCUUCCAUUCUCUUCCUCUCUUGCCCUUCUCUCUUUGUGUAAAUUCCUCUACUUUUGCCGCCAUUUUCUUUUCUCCACAGCUCCAGGCUUUCGGUCCCAGUGGUUUCAACCCCACACUGACCUCCCCUUCAUCACUGAAGCUGAAUUGUCACCUCCUGGUUUGAAAUGUGAUGCUCCAGUGAAAUGAAUGGUGGAUGCCAGUGAUCACCUUGUCAAGUCAUUUUUUCAGGCUGCCUGGGUGCUCAGGCACCCACUGCAUCUCUGCUUU